UACUCCUACGGGAGGCAGCAGUGAGGAAUAUUGCGCAAUGGGGGCAACCCUGACGCAGCAACGCCGCGUGAGUGAGGAAGGUUUUCGGAUUGUAAAGCUCUGUCGAGCGGAAAGAAAUGCACGAUGGCUAAUAUCCAUCAUGCUUGACGGUACCGCUAGAGGAAGCACCGGCUAACUCCGUGCCAGCAGCCGCGGUAAUACGGGGGGUGCAAGCGUUGUUCGGAAUCAUUGGGCGUAAAGAGCGUGUAGGCGGCUGGACAAGUCAGAUGUGAAAUCCCUGGGCUUAACCCAGGAAGUGCAUUUGAAACUGUCUAGCUGGAGUAAGGGAGAGGAAAGUGGAAUUCCUGGUGUAGAGGUGAAAUUCGUAGAUAUCAGGAGGAACACCGGUGGCGAAGGCGACUUUCUGGCCCUAUACUGACGCUGAGACGCGAAAGCGUGGGUAGCAAACAGGAUUAGAUACCCUGGUAGUCA
rnacentral:rRNA from 1 species